rnacentral:rRNA from 1 species
AUACGUAGGGGGCGAGCGUUGUCCGGAAUGACUGGGCGUAAAGGGCGUGUAGGCGGCGGUGUAAGCCUGGAGUGAAAGUCCCGCAUUCAAUGUGGGAAUUGCUUUGGAUACUGCAGUGCUAGAGUGCGGAAGAGGGAAGUGGAAUUCCCAGUGUAGCGGUGAAAUGCGUAGAGAUUGGGAGGAACACCAGUGGCGAAGGCGACUUACUGGGCCGUAACUGACGCUGAGGCGCGAAAGCGUGGGGAGCGAACAGGAUUAGAUACCCUGGUAGUCCACGCGGUAAACGAUGAAUGCUAGGUGUUGCGGGUAUCGACCCCUGCAGUGCCGGAGUAAACACAAUAAGCAUUCCGCCUGGGGAGUACGGCCGCAAGGUUGAAACUCAAAUGAAUUGGCGGGG